rnacentral:rRNA from 1 species
UACAGAGGUCUCAAGCGUUGUUCGGAUUCAUUGGGCGUAAAGGGUGCGUAGGUGGCGCGCUAAGUCAGGUGUGAAAUUUCGGAGCUUAACUCCGAAACUGCAUUUGAUACUGGCGUGCUUGAGGACUGGAGAGGAGACUGGAAUUUACGGUGUAGCAGUGAAAUGCGUAGAGAUCGUAAGGAAGACCAGUGGCGAAGGCGGGUCUCUGGACAGUUCCUGACGCUGAGGCACGAAGGCCAGGGGAGCAAACGGG